rnacentral:rRNA from 1 species
GGUUUCCGUAGGUGAACCUGCGGAAGGAUCAUUGAAUCUAUCAAUACCAACACCUGUGAACCCAAGAUGUCCGGUCCGCUGGGUGGGCUUAAUUGACCACUUGGUGCGGUUUGGAGCAAUCCAGACCGGGUCUGCUGGCCACACUGCCUUCUGGCAGCUGGGGUCAGUGGGUUGGCCCUUUAUACUAACCACAACACCAAACCAAAACAACUAAAGCUAAGAUGUGCAGCUGGCCUGGCCACUGCAUCCUAACUGAGACAACUCUCAACAACGGAUAUCUUGGCUCUCGCAACGAUGAAGAACGCAGCGAAAUGCGAUACGUAGUGUGAAUUGCAGAAUUCCGUGAAUCAUCGAAUCUUUGAACGCAUAUUGCGCUCGAGGCUUCGGCCAAGAGCAUGUCUGCCUCAGCGUCGGGUUAAUAUCACAUCCCCUUCUCAGUGGGUGUGGACCUGGCUGUUCCAGCGUGGUGGCUGAGUUGAUUAACUUCUCUCAGCCGUUCAUGCCUGCUGGAUCAGCUGAAGCGCAGAGGCUAACCAAGGACCCGCUAAGGGCCGCAACUGGGUAGGCAUACAGCUUCGGCUGCUCUUGCUACAUCUAGUUGUUGGUCUGGGACCAUGUGUUGGCCCUCAAACAGGAACCAUUAACCCUAUUUUCUCGACCUGAGCUCAGGCAAGAACACC